rnacentral:rRNA from 1 species
AUUGAACGCUGGCGGCAGGCCUAACACAUGCAAGUCGAGCGGAUGAAGGGAGCUUGCUCCUGGAUUCAGCGGCGGACGGGUGAGUAAUGCCUAGGAAUCUGCCUGGUAGUGGGGGAUAACGUCCGGAAACGGGCGCUAAUACCGCAUACGUCCUGAGGGAGAAAGUGGGGGAUCUUCGGACCUCACGCUAUCAGAUGAGCCUAGGUCGGAUUAGCUAGUUGGUGGGGUAAAGGCCUACCAAGGCGACGAUCCGUAACUGGUCUGAGAGGAUGAUCAGUCACACUGGAACUGAGACACAGUCCAGACUCCUACGGGAGGCAGCAGUGGGGAAUAUUGGACAAUGGGCGAAAGCCUGAUCCAGCCAUGCCGCGUGUGUGAAGAAGGUCUUCGGAUUGUAAAGCACUUUAAGUUGGGAGGAAGGGCAGUAAGUUAAUACCUUGCUGUUUUGACGUUACCAGCAGAAUAAGCACCGGCUAACUUCGUG